AUUAGUUCAAGUAACGAGAGUGUACACUGAUCAGCUUGUUAUAUACCAGCUGGAAACAGUUUCCUUAAUCACCAUUCUUAAAGCUGCGCUGGGGAUCUGACUCUCUGCAGUAGCAAAAACCUGGAAGAAGUCCACAGAAUCUGCAUGAUGCCAAAUGCUAUUGGGUUAUGAACCUGUGGAGCCCCACUAAUGCUUGCUUGAUGCUGUAGUCUCGAGCAGGAACAAGAAAAUGCAUCACCUCCCCCUCCACCCCUCAGCAAUCCUGCAGUUCUCCAGACACAAGCAAGCAAGGGGGGAUCAUGAUGAAACAGUCAUUUUGGCCCAUCUCCAGGAAUAUAUUUCAGCU